GAAAAAGAGUUUUCAAACUAGAAAGAUUGUACAAGACUAUUUUCUACAAAACAAAAAGCACAACAUACAACGUGAAUUCUGGAAGCAAGCAAGUGGCAGAGAUUGGCAAUCAUCCAGAUUCAAUUCCAGAACUGCGCAGCUGUGUGGAUGAAGCAACGAAUUAGACAGAAAUAACUGAUCUGGUAAAGCGUGACAGAUCCUCGUGGCAGUAAAUUAGGAAAGAAUUCCUUUAGACAACUGGACAUCGACUGUUAGAAAGAGACUUUUCAUCUGAUCUGCAAACUGUGAUGGAAGAUUCUACUGAGUUAAUUGGAUACAGAAGAUUAACAGACUUACAAAGAAAUAAAAGAUUGACACUAACAUACAUAUCAAUUCCUAAAUAGUAACGAAGAAGAAAACAGAAAAUGAAAAGUUAUUUAACAGUUAUGAGUGUAUUAAUACCAAAAGAGAGUACUUAUAAAUGUGUAACACAUGGAGUAAAAUUAUGAAAGGAUAGUAUUAUGAAGAGAACUAUUACAUGAUGACCUAUACAUAGAAUGAG